CACUGAGGUUGCCUAAUACAGCUCAGCUGUUUUUCUCAGUCUUCCCUUUGAUUAUAAGCUAGCAAGAGAGAUUAUUUCGGUCAAGCACUGAGCUAUAUUCGGGAUCUGUGGCCUAUGACAUUAGAAAGGUCUGACCACUGAAGGACUACCUAUAUCAAAACAAGGGCGAUGAAGGAUCAAACACGGGGGCAUGGAAUGGGCAGGGGAAGGGAGAAGGAAGAGGAGCAAGAGGCAGAGGAGCGCAAAGAUGAAAAGGAGAAAGAAGAUGACGACGACGAUAAUGGUGAUGAUGUCAUCAUGAUCAGCAGCUACAUGAAGAUUUGAGUUCUAUUUUGUCCAGUAGCAAGGAAAGGUUUUCCUAAGUCUUCCAUGCUCCCAUAUGAAAAAAUAAAAGCUACUAGCCUGA